ACGUCCAUACCACGCCGAAUACACCGGUUCUCGUCCGAUCACCGAAGUUAAGCAGCGUCGGCCGCGGUCAGUACUUAUAUGGGCAACCACCUUGGGAAUACCGCGUAAUGU